AUACGAAGGUCCCAAGCGUUAUUCGGAAUCACUGGGCGUAAAGAGUACGUAGGCGGUUUGGUAAGUCAGGUGUGAAAUCCCGAAGCUCAACUUCGGAACUGCAUCCGAUACUGCCAGACUUGAGUAAUGGAGAGGCAGGUGGAAUUCUCGGUGUAGUAGUGAAAUGCGUGGAUAUCGAGAGGAAGACCAAUGGCGAAGGCAGCCUGCUGGACAUUUACUGACGCUGAGGUACGAAGGCUAGGGGAGCGAAAGGGAUGAGAAACCCCAGUAGUCC
rnacentral:rRNA from 1 species